GACGGAGGAUGCACGCGUUAUCCGGAAUGAUUGGGCGUAAAGCGUCCGCAGGUGGCAGUUCAAGUCUGCUGUCAAAGACCGGGGCUUAACUUCGGAAAGGCAGUGGAAACUGAACAGCUAGAGUAUGGUAGGGGCAGAGGGAAUUCCUGGUGUAGCGGUGAAAUGCGUAGAGAUCAGGAAGAACAUCGGUGGCGAAGGCGCUCUGCUGGACCAUAACUGACACUCAGGGACGAAAGCUAGGGGAGCGAAUGGG
rnacentral:rRNA from 1 species